rnacentral:misc_RNA from 1 species
GGAAAAUGCUCUUAGUGCCUUCUUCAGGUUCACAGAUCCAACAAAUCUGGAGUCUCAACGCAACGUGGUUGAGCUUGGAGCAUAUCCUAUACUGGUAAACUUUCUCAAAGCUGAUUCAAUAACUGCACAAGCAAGAGCAGCUGCACUAUUAACGGAUCUAUCAAUGCGUAGUCAUGAACUCAGUGCAUUAUCCAGGAAAGCUUCCUGUUUCUGUAUUGGACGAGCACGUGCUCCUAUCUGUCCUGCCCACGGAGGUGCCUGCAGCGUGAGCAAGACAUUCUGUCUAUUGGAG